UUUUAGAAAUUAAUUUAAAGUCUAACCUGCCCACUGAAAAUUUUAAAUGGCCGCAGUAUUCUAACUGUGCAAAGGUAGCAUAAUCAUUAGUCUUUUAAUUGAAGGCUGGAAUAAAUGGUUGAAUGAAAUAUUAACUGUUUCAUACAAAUUAAAAAUAGAAUUUUAUUUUUAGUCAAAAAGCUAAAAUAAAUUUAAAAGACGAGAAGACCCUAUAAAUCUUUAUACCUUCUAAAUUUUAGUUAUUUAGAAUAUUAAAAUUAUAAUUUUAUUAGGUAUUUUAUUGGGGUGAUAUUAAAAUUUGAUUAACUUUUAAUUAAUUUAAACCAUUAAUUAAUGAAUUUAAUGAUCCAUUAAUUAUGAUUAUAAAAUUAAGUUACUUUAGGGAUAACAGCGUAAUUUUUUAGAGAGUUCCUAUUGAUAAAAA
rnacentral:rRNA from 1 species